rnacentral:rRNA from 1 species
GUAGGGGGCUAGCGUUGUCCGGAUUUAUUGGGCGUAAAGCGCGUGUAGGCGGCCAGAUAGGUCUGCUGUGAAAACUCGAGGCUCAACCUCGAGCUGUCGGCGGAAACCAUCCGGCUAGAGUCCGGAAGAGGAGAGUGGAAUUCCCGGUGUAGCGGUGAAAUGCGCAGAUAUCGGGAAGAACACCUGUGGCGAAGGCGGCUCUCUGGGACGGUACUGACGCUGAGACGCGAAAGCGUGGGGAGCAAACAGGAUUAGAUACCCUGGUAGUCCACGCCGUAAACGAUGGGUGCUAGGUGUGGGGAGUGUCGACUCUCUCCGUGCCGAAGCUAACGCAUUAAGCACCCCGCCUGGGGAGUACGGCCGCAAGGCUAAA